rnacentral:rRNA from 1 species
UACGAAGGGGGCGAGCGUUGUUCGGAUUUACUGGGCGUAAAGGGCGUGCAGGCGGUUUGUUAAGUGCAGGGUGAAAGCUCCCGGCUCAACUGGGAGAGGUCCUUGCAUACUGGCGAACUCGAGGGAGGCAGAGGAAAGUGGAAUUCCCGGUGUAGUGGUGAUAUGCGUAGAUAUCGGGAGGAACACCUGUGGCGAAGGCGGCUUUCUGGGCCUUACCUGACGCUGAGACGCGAAAGCGUGGGGAGCGAACCGG